GACGAACGCUGGCGGCGUGCUUAACACAUGCAAGUCGAACGGGUCUGCCCUGUUUUUUGCGGGGUGGGUCAGUGGCGAACGGGUGAGUAACACGUGAGUAACCUGCCCCUCACUUCUGGAUAACCGCUUGAAAGGGUGGCUAAUACGGGGUGUUCUGGCUGUGCCGCAUGGUGUGGCUGGGAAAGAUUCACUUUUGUGGUGUUUUGGUGGGGGAUGGGCUCGCGGCCUAUCAGCUUGUUGGUGGGGUGAUGGCCUGCCAAGGCUUUGACGGGUAGCCGGCCUGAGAGGGUGGGCGGUCACACUGGGACUGAGCUACGGCCCAGACUCCUGCGGGAGGCAGCAGUGGGGGGUAUUGCACAAUGGGCGGAAGCCUGAUGCAGCGACGUCGCGUGAGGGAUGGAGGCCUUCGGGUUGUGAACCUCUUUCGCCGGUGAAGAAGGUCCUGCUCUUUGGGGUGGGGUUGACGGUAGCCGGGUUAUGAAGCGCCGGCUAACUACGUG
rnacentral:rRNA from 1 species